rnacentral:lncRNA from 1 species
GCGGCGGAAAUGAGGAAGGGGUAGAAAGCAGCGCUGUGAGACUAGGGUAUUCGUCGAGUGAGACAAAAGGCAGCCAGGUUUUGGCUAGUUUUUUUUUUAAAGCGGUUUUUGCCGUUUCGGGCGGGAGGAAGACGAAGGGGAGGGAGUAUGCUCUCUUUUUUUAUGUGGCGGGAGGGAGUAUGUUUUUGGUGACAUCAUGAACCAAAGUUUUCAGUACAACAACAUUUUCCAAAGUAGUUUAAUAAUUAUUUAACUUCUAUUUUUUUGACACAAAACAGUAGGGAAAUGCCCUACUGUGUCAUUUUCAUUUAUAAAGGGUGAAUAUUUACAAUGGAUAUUUGCAUCAAGAAAGCUUAUAUGAGAGUGCAAAAAAUAAUUUAUCUUUAUAAAGAGUAAAACUAACCAAAUAUGAUGAAACUGAUAUAGUAAUAUUAUUACCAAUUACUUCCUCCGAUCCUAAAUUGUUGUCGACAUAUUACAUGUAUCG